rnacentral:rRNA from 1 species
CCAGACUCCUACGGGAGGCAGCAGUGGGGAAUAUUGCACAAUGGGGGAAACCCUGAUGCAGCGACGCCGCGUGAGUGAAGAAGUAUUUCGGUAUGUAAAGCCCUAUCAGCAGGGAAGAAAGAAGACGGUACCUGAUUAAGAAGCCCCGGCUAACUACGUGCCAGCAGACGCGGUAAUAAGUAGGGGGCGAGCGUUAUCCGGAUUCACUGGGUGUAAAGGGAGCGUAGACGGCCGUGCAAGCCAGGAGUGAAAGCCCGCGGCCCAACCCCGUGACUGCUCUUGGAACUGUGCGGCUGGAGUGCGGGAGGGGCAGGCGGAAUUCCUGGUGUAGCGGUGAAAUGCGUAGAUAUCAUGAGGAACACCGGCGGCGAAGGCGGCCUGCUGGACCGCGACUGACGUUGAGGCUCGAAAGCGUGGGGAGCGAACAGGAUUAGAUACCCGAGUA